AUUGAACGCUGGCGGCAGGCCUAACACAUGCAAGUCGAGCGAGCGGCGGACGGGUGAGUAUUGUAUGGGGAUCUGCCUGAUGGCGGGGGAUAACUACUGGAAACGGUAGCUAAUACCGCAUACCAUCAGAUGAACCCAUAUGGGAUUAGCUAGUAGGUAAGGUAACGGCUUACCUAGGCGACGAUCCCUAGCUGGUCUGAGAGGAUGAUCAGCCACACGGUGACUGAGACACGGCCCAGACUCCUACGGGAGGCAGCAGUGGGGAAUAUUGCACAAUGGGCGCAAGCCUGAUGCAGCCAUGCCGCGUGUAUGAAGAAGGACUUCGGGUUGUAAAGUACUUUCAGGCGGGAGGCGUGACCGACAGAAGAAGCACCGGCUAACUCCGUGCCAGCAGCCGCGGUAAUUC
rnacentral:rRNA from 1 species